rnacentral:rRNA from 1 species
GACGAACGCUGGCGGCAUGCCUAACACAUGCAAGUCGAACGGAGAUUAUUUCGGUAAUCUUAGUGGCGAACGGGUGAGUAACGCGUGGGCAACCUGCCCUCUAGAUGGGGACAACAUCCCGAAAGGGGUGCUAAUACCGAAUGUGACAGCAAUCUCGCAUGAGGAUGCUGUGAAAGAUGGCCUCUAUUUAUAAGCUAUCGCUAGAGGAUGGGCCUGCGUCUGAUUAGCUAGUUGGUGGGGUAACGGCCUACCAAGGCGAUGAUCAGUAGCCGGUCUGAGAGGAUGAACGGCCACAUUGGGAAUGAGACACGGCCCAGACUCCUACGGGAGGCAGCAGUGGGGAAUCUUCCGCAAUGGGCGAAAGCCUGACGGAGCAAUGCCGCGUGAGUGAUGAAGGAAUUCGUUCCGUAAAGCUCUUUUGUUUAUGACGAAUGUGCAGAUUGUGAACAAUGAUCUGUAAUGACGGUAGUAAACGAAUAAGCCACGGCUAACUACGUG